rnacentral:misc_RNA from 1 species
GAUGAAGAACGUAGCGAAAUGCGAUACGUAAUGUGAAUUGCAGAAUUCAGUGAAUCAUCGAAUCUUUGAACGCACCUUGCGCUCCUUGGUAUUCCGAGGAGCAUGCCUGUUUGAGUGUCAUGAAAUUCUCAACCUUUUCAGCUUUCUUUGUUGAUCAGGCUUGGAUGUGGGAGUAUGCGGGCUUCUCAGAAGUCGGCUCUCCUGAAAUGCAUUAGCGGGACCUUUGUUGCCUGGCUUUGGUGUGAUAAUUAUCUACGCCAUUGUGGUCAAGCAGCUUAAAAUGAGGUUUCAGCUUCUAACCGUCUCCCCUGAGACAACUUUUUGACAAUUUGACCUCAAAUCAGGUAGGACUACCCGCUGAACUUAAGCAUAUCAAUAAGCGGAGGA